AUAUAUGGAUCAUGCAGAUCCCUUUCAGACUGUAAACUAGAGAGGAGCUGGUAGGACUUUUCUAACCUGCAAGGAGACAGGCAGGUUACAUCAGGUCACACAGGAUGGAGAGGCUGCGAUACUGAGGUCCUGGGAGGAAUAAGGGGAAAGAUGAGAUCUGGAAAGCAGGAGGCCACCUUGCAGGGACAGGCCCCAGACACCUAUAAGGGCUUUCCACCCACUCCUAAAGCAGGUGUCCUAGAGCUGUGUCAGACCUGUAGCCAAAUUGCAGGUAACCAUAUAUUAAUCCCCCAACUUCUUGGAAGUAAAACAUGACCUGAAGUUAAUGCUGAAGCAGAGAGGAAGGACCCAGCACAGGUAAAUGAUCACAGCAGCCCCAGUAGAGCAUCCCUGGUAAUUUGUGCCCUGUAUCCAGGUGUACUGCUGGUUCAGUGACACUGUUUCAUAGCUGCAUCCAGACCUACUUCUAAUACAACUUGUAUACUAGAUCAUGAGAGUAUUUACAAACAAAACAUUAAGAAUGUAGCACAGGGAUAUAGGGGAGAGCGUUAGAUGUCAUGAAUAGGCCACUGAGAUUUGAAAGGCCUUUAGGGUCAGACACCCCAAAGUGACACAUGCAUGUGACAAACAUUUGAGAGCUUACAAUAGUAGAGAGUGUUGCUGAGCAUUUAAACACUUGACAUGCUCACUGCUGACCCUUAAGAUGUUUAAAUAAAGAAUAAUUUAAAAUAAAACAUAAUAAUUAAAAAUGCAUGAUCUCUGUGAAGAGACAAAGAGUUUUAUUAACUUCUGAUUUGAGGUUUACCAUUCCCUUAUUAAAGAGUAGGAAUUAAUCUCUUUUGAAACAAUAAAAAUCUAGACUGAAUUAAACUGUUCCUGAUACAGGAGCUGGACAAGAUGAUUUCAAGAUGCCUUCUAACCUAAAUUACUCUACAACUCUAAAACAGCCCACCAAACUGCAAGAAAAAUCAACCAAGGGAAUUGCUCAAGUAGAAACAAACAGCAGCAAAACUGUUAGUGAUAACCACCAAAUAAUAAUAUCCACUGGUGAAUAUACACACAUAUGCACAUAAUAUUCAAAGAGCCCAAAUUCCUUCAACAGGUGUUUCAGGUAGAGUCAAGAAAAUAAGAGAUUUUUAUACUGGGUUCUUUCUCCCAGCACAGAGAGAAGUUUCAAAAGUUGGCUGAGCAGACUCUGAAAGUGACUCCAUGUGAUGCUGACCUUUUAAAUACCACCACACCUACCAAGGCUGGGUGAAGAAAAGGAAAAAGUGCUUGCUGGCAAAAUGGAAGACACUUAUACAUUGUUGUGCCAGCCCUGGAAGACAGAAAAAGCACCAAGUCCUACACAGUUCAACAGAAAGAUUCAUUAAGAAAAUCCACAUGUAACCCAACAAGACUGUUCCUGUAAGGGCCUACAAAGAAUUUCUAUUGAUAUCUGGAACUAACAUUGCUUAAGUCUUAAGCGAGAGUUGCCUGGGACCCCCAUAAAUGAUAUGCAAGGAAAGAAGAUUCAAGGGACUUGAAUAUAUCUGGUGGAAAAAGCUGUUGUGUUACUUAGAGAUUUGGCAACUGCUGCUAUGACAUGAAACUACGACUGGGUGGAAAGUCUGCUGACUUAGGUGCUGAUUACUCUGCUGUUAAAGCAUCAUGCAAGCAGCAGUGUCCAGCUGGCACUAAUGAUACAUCACAACACUCCAUCUGCAGCUCCCCAUGCACACUGUGGGGGGAAUGUCCUGUGCAAAGUACAAGAGGCAAAUAGGCAAGAGAAGAUAGAAAUACAAACCAAACAAACACUACUUGCUUAUUGUGGUACACUCCUAGCCUCCCCAGUACUACCAAAGAAUGAUGAAUGACCAGUGAACACAUGGAAAUAUUAACUUCCAUUUAUUAUUAUGUUUUUUCAAUUUAAAUAUUACUAUCAUCUGAAGUAAAACACUAUUUGAAGACACUCCUGAAAGCAGCAGUAGGUUUUGUGUGCAGCCACACUCUGGUUCCCUUUUCCUGUCGUCACCUGAGAAAGGCUCUUUAAAAUAAAAAAUUCUCCAUAUUGAUUUUUGACAUGCUCCACGCUUCCUAGAGACAGAUUCAGAGCAGCAAUCUUCAAAUGUUCCUUUGUUUCACCUCUCAUUUUUCUAUACAAGAGCUAUUUGAGUGCUAUUGUGACCCUGAAAGAAGGAAUGGUUUUGUUAUUCAGAUUAAUCGCCAUUUCCACACUAAACAAAGACCAUCAGGAAGAAAGUGACUUAAGAAAAUAUGAUCACCAGAAGCAGCUGUAGAGCAAGAGGUAGAAAAAAGAUAAUUUUUCACCUACGCAUAUGGAACUCCAAACGAGGCUCAUCAAUUGGCUGAAAUAAUCUAUGACAUGAGAAACAUAAAUGAUUAAUAUCAACUUUUGCUAUAAAGCUCUUUUCUUCUUUCCUUUCACCUUCCUUCCUCACAUUUCUGUCACUUUGUGUUGCCUGGGGCUCAGAAAGGAAGAUUUUGUUAAAUUUCCAUAAUGCAGCAGAACCAUUAAUCUCAUAGCCAUAGACUCAGAAAAAAAAUUGGUAAGUUUACAGGGAGUAAAACUUAGUGUACAGUUACAAUCAGGAAAACAACUUACAUUUAUGAUUUCAUAUGUCCCCAGGACAAUGUGGGAGUCAGGCUAUCCUGACUGCUGCCACUAUAGAAUGGACUGCAAGAAAGUGAGAUGGGUUUUGCUCCCCUGUAUCUUCCAAUUUACCCUUGGUUUCCCUUUGGAGAGCUAGAUCAGGUGAAAAAUUCCUGACUAGAUGAAGCACCUCUGUUUUCUUGUCCCAGCAGGGAUCUGACCAAAGCAAUGACAGAACAACUCGCCAUCAUCAAGUCAGAUUGGUGAGGAAGGUGACUGGGAGACUGCCACCAUGAGCAGCACGGGCGGAGCCCAGUCUCCAUGUUCUGCUCUUUGGCUGAGCUGGGCUUUCUGCCCCUUGCAUGUGCCUGCGUCAAACAGUGUGCUUUUGUCAUCUCUGUCUGAGCAGCUGGGGGAGUGAGCUGAAGGAGACUGCCAUGGGUCAGCCUGCAGCUUUCAUCAUAGCAGUGCCAGGCUCAGAUCACCUGAAACAGCACUGCUGCUCCUUUUCCUGCACAGUCCCUCUUGCCAUGCCUGCCCCCAUGGCUGCUCUGCUGAGGCAGCAGCACAUUCCCGAGGGGAAAGGGGCUGCAAGCCACAAACCCCACUGACGAGAUCCCAGUGGCUGUGCCAGAACAGCAUAAGUGAAUCCUCAGCGCAAAAAUCAAAUCCUCUCAACAGACCAGCAUGGAAGCAAAGCAACUACAGCUUCCACACCACCCUCUUCAAACACGACAUGAGGCACCCAAGAAAGAUUUGAGCUGGUUUUCCACAACCUCUGCCUAUGAGGACACACUAAUGUCUUCCAGACAGGAAGAUUUCUCCCUGUAACUUGGCCUCUCAUGACACCAGUCCUUACACUGUCCUUGCAGCUUGGCAGAAGGCGUCCUUUUUACCUCCCAAGUGGCUGCCUAUACAUACUGACUGUAACUGGAGGGGCAAUAGACAUUAAGUUUGCCAGCUUCACUGGGAUUCAUAUUUAAUAAUGAGAUUGAAAAGGUGAAAGCAGUACAAUUUUAUUCUGUCAGAGCCAAAAGCUUGUUUCUGAUGACAAAGUUGGAGAGGAGGACAAAAGGACCAAAACCUAUUUUAUAAGAUGACACAACCUUCCCAGUGCUAUCACCUGAAACUCCUGAAGCACCUUUUUUGCUGCAGGGGGAAAGAAAUGGGACAGCUGCAUUCCCCUAGAGCUAAGCCCUAGGGCAUUCCAGGGGCUGCUGCAUCAAACCACUUUCCUCCUGCCCAAGCAGAGCCUCCCAGCUCCCAUAUCUGCAUUCAGUGGCAGCUUCCUGACCUUCUGUUGUUGUUCUCUGCUUUUUAGCGAGCAGCAAAGCCACUCCUGGCUGCUUUUUCCUUAACAAGUAGAGCUGCCAUUUCCCAAGUUUUAUCCCCAGACUCUAGAAUAUCAAAGUGCAGGAGUGAUGUCUCUCUUGGCCCUCCAGGCCCUCUGAUCACAGAGUGCCAUCAUGCUCUCUAAUACAUUUCUCCAAGCUUUUGAGGUAUUUUCAGUCCCCUCAGGACAAUCUCACUUUUUGAUAAGUAAUAAACCAUCUGGAAUAUUUGUUGCAUGCUUACCUUACAAAUCUUUCCAUUUUCAGUCUGCUUUCACCCCUCCACUGGGAUCAACCACAUUGCAGAAAAAAAAAACAAACACAGGAGACAGAUCUGGCCUGUAAAGGAAGCCUUCCAGGUGUCCCUUUGACUCUGAGUUCAGAGAAAUUUGUACUCAUAGUAGAGACUUUCUCAGCACACCUACCUUCGCACACAGUGGAGUCAACCACAGAGUUUCUCAGCUGAAAAUUAUUAUAAAAUAAAUGAAGAGGUAAAAUCCUUCUGAAGCUUCAAAGAGGAUGUCAAUCAUCAGAAGACUUGAUGAUUUUUAAAUACAUGUGCUGCUGCAGCAGCAUUGCAGAAUGUCAAUGUUUCUCAAGAAUAAAUGCAUGAGACUGUUAAGUCCAACCUCUUGGUAAAAAGUUGUUGAAUUAGUAAAAGGAUUUUGUUUCUAUUUCAAUGAAGACUAAAUUCUUCCAUUACUUCAGCUGCCAAAGCAGUUUUUAUAAAGAAAACCUCCCAGAAGACUCCAACUGGCAAGUUUCCUUACAACUGGCAAAGGUGCACUCCUAGGUCAUCUGCACAGACAACCAAAUCCUGUCCCUGGAGUGGCAUCAACCACCCUGAGCAUUUGAGACUUAAUUGAUCAAAACAUUUGAAUAUCAAACCUAAGGCUCAUGAAAGCGCCACUAAAGUAAAAAGACUGCUUGUAUGCUAAAAAAUACACAUUAGCUAAAAUAUUUUGCUAGGUCAUCCACCAUGGUCCCACCAGUAUUUAUGAUUAAUUAGCUUAUUCCACUUGGAAAAUUCAGGGCCUUUACAGAGGACUGAUUAAAAGGUCUAGACCUUAAAAAUAUGCCUAUGUUUUAAUUCAGUUACAAAUGUCAAAACAACUAUUUAAAUAACAUAAAGUAAUGUAAAUGUGAAUAAUCAGAUAUUAAUAUUUUCAGACUGGUUUACUAACACAUUUACACUGAUUAACCAUUUAUUUUUUCCAGAAGUGCUCUGCAUAAAGAUACAUUAAUAUAGAAAAUUAGCCCAGCUUACUAAACUAAUAUAUUUGUCACCAUCAUAGAAAAUCCUAGAUUUAUUAAGCAGGAGCUAUUUUACCUUGUAAAAGCAAGGAAUAGAUUGCAAAAAAAUGUAUGAAUUUAACAAAAAUCAGUGUUUUAUAUGCAACAAAACAAAUACUAUUGCAUAUAGAGCUGGAGGGGCUUUUUUGUUUUUUAAAGACAGCCAUGCACAGGAUCUGUAGAGUCAAAUAUUUAUUUGCCAUAUAAAGCUCAAGAAUAAUCAUAUAUUUAAAUGAAAUACCAAAAUAUCAAAACUACAACUAAUUGCAGUUAACUAACUGCAAGUAUGCAAACAAUUUCUAGACACUGACAUGCUUAAUGUUGUGCAUUGCUAAGUUUCUUCAAAAUCUAAAUCAAUGUAAAGCAAUAUUAAGAAAAAAAACUUCUACUAAGACCUUCAAGUCUAUGCCAAAUCUCCUCAGUUGCCAAAGAAAAAUUUAAACAGUAUACCUGAAAGAAAAAAUGAGGCUUUUUUUUCUCUGAGCCAGACUCUCCUCCAUAUAUGCUAUAUUUUGAAGAAUUAGGAAACAAGGUUCUACAGUCUUCCACUAAAAAAUGGUUCUACCAAUAAAAGUAAAAACAUGUCUGAUUACUCUUUAGAUAGAGGUCAUAGGGGCAAGUCAUUCUACAGAACCUCAACAGACCCUGUCAACUUCAAAACAGUAACGUGGCAAAAUCUUGGAGUACUUUCCACAGCUAAAGAAGGAAGAUGAGACUUUGAACAUCCACAAGAUAUAGUGAAUGUAGAUACAGUUCUGAUCAGAAAUAUUUCCACCUGACCAGGAAAUAAUACACUAAAAAAACCUUAUAUUAAAAGUAGUAAAAGCAUAGUAUUAAAACUAUAGUAUAAAUAGUUAAAAUAGACAUUAAAUAAACUUUGGUAAGGGAAUAACAGUUGUUAAUAAAAAUUCCUUAUUUAAAGAAAAAUGUAUUAUCAAUCACAUUUAUGUGUAUGAACAUUUAGAUUUAAUUUUUUUCACCAUUAAUUUUACUAUUAUUUUAGCAUUCAGUUAAGUUGCUCAAAAUAAGAAUGAACAGUGUUCAUGAUGCAAGAACAUUAUCACUUGCUUGCAAGUCUUAGGACAAUAUAAUGGCUGCAUCUGAAAAGAUGCACUGAAACUAUCUCAGACCUGGAUCAGGUCUCCUCUAUACAUAAGUCCAUUAAACGAGAAUUUCCCACUCCUAUGAAGAUGACCUUAUAAUGUUAUUCUGAAGUGUCUCAGAAGCUGUUUUACUGAAGCUUGCAUCGGUCAAUCCCCAGAUUUUUGUGUAAAACCAUUUUUAUUCAGUCAUUACUGGUUCUUCUAGUUCAGCUUUCAAAUAUUCACUGCCUGAUUCAUAGAUGUGAGCUCAACAGAAAAAUUUCAAUAAUAUAUUUUCAAUAAAAGUUUCUAACACAGCACAAAAUUCAGGGUUGCUGAGUUAUACAAGAUGGUCAUUCUGGACUAAGCCCACAGUGUGCAUCAAUAACUUCAGUGAGAUCCUGAGACUGUGCUGGAUGUCUGGAUGUUUACAAAUGCAGAGGCAUUAUUUCUGCAAUUACUGGUUUUAGAUGCUGCCUUAUUCACAGAAUUUUGGACAUAUUCUUUGAAGCAAUUGGCCUUUAAGCUUGAUGCAUGUCCAAAGAGUUGUUAAGUCUUGAAUUCCUUUGCCAUCACUUCCAUUUGCAUGUUCUAGCCUUACAUAAAAACCUUGUUUCAACGAAAUGGAUUCCUAUUUUGCUGAAAUAAGUAUUUCUUCUGUACUUUAAAAGCAAAUAUUUUCCAGCUUUUCCCUUUCUAUCUUCUAAAAAGUAAAUUGUGGAGCAGAAGAGGAUGUGAAAGAAUUUUUUAAAAUGUAGAUUUUUGUUGUAAUCAGAACUCAGUACAAAGUAUUACCAGAUAUACAACCUCUUCAUCAAAAGCCUGGUUUCCACGGUGACCAAGCACAUCGUCUGCUGGUUUGUUUUAGUUUUUAAAAAAAGUUGCUUUUUAAUGUCACCCAUCCCCAAAAUUAGGAUAGAAAAUAAGCUUAGAGAAAUGUAAUUUUUUUUUCCCCUACAGUAUCUAAACCAAACUGAGGACUUAGUUGCCCACACAGCAGCAGCAUAAUGCAUCAUUCUUUUUAUCUAAAGCUCACUCAUCCAACCCAGGUACUAGCAGCUACUCUGCUCUGGCAAAAAUGCUCAUCAAGGAAUUUUUUAAGCCAUAUGAAUGACAGUGACAAGUAGGUGAACCACCGCUCAAGCUCAAUGCCUUUAACCUAAAAUUUGGUGAGCUGGAUCAGGCUAGAAGCCUUCUAGUCUGCUGGCUGAAGCAGUAGUAGCCAGAGGUCAUAAUUUCUACCACCCUUAUAAUUAAAAGUGAGCACUUCUUUCCUCACCCUAUGAACUGAAUUACUGCAUCCCCUUAGCCAUGAGAGAAAUCCCAUUCUAACCAGACAUAACGUAAAACCAAGUUGAGUUCAUGAUUUUAUAUAUAUAUAUAUCAAAAUAGCUGAUUUUUACUUUUGCUAUUUCCGCUUGGCUUAUACAGUCAGUUCCCCACUUGCUACUCAUGGUAUUCAAUAUAAAGAAAGACUAAAAAGCCUUGUGCCUCAUUUCCCUGCCUGGGAGGAAAUGCCUAUCACUGGACCAGUCAGAUGGUCUUGUCCCUUUCUUGUCCUUAGUCACUAUGUAUUUACGUAGUAAUCAACAUUAAUAUAGAAUAGACACUGUCUAUUUCUCACUGCAAAUUUCAUCCUCUAUUCAGCUGCCCAGCACAUUCAACAUUUAAUUCAAUCCCACGUCCUAUUUUUAACAAUGACUCAUUUAAUUUCAUCCUCACCCUCUUGCAGUCUUAGUUCAAGACUAUUACAUAACUCAAACCAAUAAAAUAUACAACUACAUUUUUUACUGUUGCAGCUUAAUUGCUUAUAAUUUCUGCCAAAGAUGCCUUUUAUUUUAAUGCAACAUUGGAUGUUUACUAAUACAGGUUCUCAACAACCAGCUGUACUGAUAACAAGAGAUAAUACUUGAAGAUCACCUAGAGACAUCUGAGUUCUGCUUUGACGUGAUAAACACUACCCUUGUGAUCAUGCAGAAUAUUUGAAUAUUAGCUUCACCUUUCUGUUUCUUUCUCCCUCGCCUACUAUACACAGAAUGGCAUAGUUCAAUAUCUGCCUAAGGAAAAAAAAAAUAUAAUAAAAGCCUGUUUUCAGCAAGCCUGAGGUACAGCAUGUUCUUAUCUUUAUGCAUAGACCUGCAUGAACACUCUCCAUUCUCCCACUAAAUUAAUCUUCAAAAAUUUAUUUUUACUCUUCAAUAUUUUCAUCUUAAAAGCUGAAGUGCUUCAAGGAUAUGAAUGACAGUAUUUUUGGCAAGAGAGAAAAAGGCACCCAGGGGAAGCACUUAGAAAAAUGACAAAAAAGUAUGUAGGUAUUUCUGCAUGAAGUGUGUUUGCAGGUUUUAGUCCUGAUGUGGAAAAGAUUACUGGGCUUUGAGAACUUUUCAUUUGAAAAGCAGCAAUUACUUCUGUAACCCCAGAGUGAUGUCUGACAUGCACCUCAUUUUUUUUUUUCUAUGCAGACAACAGAUAGUCAAGUACCCAUUUCAGAUUACUGCAGUUUUAUUUCCAGGAUAGAAGGGGAAAAUGAUGUAGGAAACAAUGGACAAAAGGAAGCAUAGACAGAGAAGAGAGAGAGCAGUCAUAUAUUUGAAAAGCAACUUUGUUUAUCAUAGGUUCAAUUACCACAUGCUGCAGUGCAAGUGAGUCUUUCUAUUGAUUCCAACAGAGUUUAAACAAAGUCCUGACUUGCAAGAUAACACUCAGCAUUAAGGGGGCUCCAGCAGCCUGGUAAUCAGGAUUCAACUAGAAGCAAGUCAGCAGACUUAGGAAUUCUGUCCAAGAGGUUUUUUUGCCCUUUGCAAUGAAUGCUACUUGGUCUUCUUGACCAAAAGACAUGGCUUAGAUAUAAAUGCCAUGGCAAAACUGAAAGUAAUCAGACAUAAACACUAAGGAGCAAAUAUUCUAUUGGACACCAGAUCAACACCUGCCAAACAACCCCUCUGCUUAUCUGUUAUAGGAAUAGGCUCCCAGCUAGAAGCUGGCCACGGACCAGCUCUCUGGAGUGAGGCAAUCCACUCUCCCUUUGGCCCUCAGCAGCAGCCUGCCACCUCCAUGAGCAUCUUCCAUCCUGGCUGAGAGGUACAGACAACACUGGCUCUCUGCUCAUUGACUCCGUUUGAACCUUUCAGUCGCCUAAAGGCACAAGGGAAGCAAAGCACCUCACCUAUGACCAGGCAUGGGAAACCGCAGGAAGCGUGAGAGGAAAAGCUGCAUACAUGAAGCUUCCUCCAGCCAUCACCUCCUCAGAGCUGAACAGAAGCAGACUGAGGGCAAGCAGAGAUGCAUAGCUGGAAGCUCAUUUUCCCUGGAAAUACUAUAAAUGAAGAAUGAAAAAUAGGUAGAGAAUGAGGAACAAAUUCACAAUAUGUACACAGAACAAGUAGGUGGUCUGGAAGAAGAAGGAAAAUAGGAAGAGAUUUUCAGAGGUAUACAAUUAGGGGAAUGACUGAAGAGGAAGAAAUGUAAAAAUAAAUGUUAAAAAAUGGCAAAAAGAUGGAAAUACAGUAGCCGAAAGGGUAGACAGGAUGGCAUUUUUCAAAUUGGUAACUCCAGAUUUUUGCUUGAACUUGAUUACUCUUCUUUCAAUGAGGGGACUGAUGAGACACAAAGCUUUGUUACCUUAAACCAAGCUUUAAAGACAGAGGUGAAAAAGAAAUAAGGGCUUUACUGGAGUUACUUUACUUCGUUCAUUCCAUUUCAGUUAUACAGCUCCUGCUCUCUGGCUCAGUCUUGUACUGCAGUGCUACACAUGAACGCUUCCCACUUGACAUCUGAAACUCUUGACACAUCCUUUCUCUUUUAAAAGAGCAAGGCUUCAUUAUCCACAGAAAAAUGAAACAGCUCAUUUUAAAAAAUCUGAAAAAAAUAAAGAAAACACAUUAGCUAUUUGGGUUUUUUUUUUGUUCAUGCUCUUUGAUGUGACUACCAAAAGUGGAUUUAUUUCAAAGUUGGGGGUUUUUCAUCGUUUUUCUGCUCAAGGACAUAUCAGUUACUUACAUAUAGAACACUUCAAGAUUUAACUGUGUUAUAUUCUCUAAUGAGAAAUAAAAUAAAAAGCAUUCUAUUGUUAGACCCUUAAUUUCUCUGGAAGUAAAUUUGGAAAAGUCCUAUUUUGAUUCUGUAAAGUUAACAAGCAGAUACUUAAAAAUAAUUUUAUGCUUAUCUUUUAGUAGUGUUUUGAUUAUAAAAUAUGCAAGAUAAGUAUACUGUUGACAGGGAAAGGCAUGUCACUGACAGGAGAAUGAAACAGAUUGCUGUUCACAAACCCUUCUUUGAUUUAAAGACCUAUUUAAACAUUUCCUUCUUGCACUAAGUCUUGAAGAUCCUCUAGCACUAGAAGGGUGCAAUUGGAAGAGUGGUAUGAAGACACAUCCUUAGGUAAAACACAGUUCUUCGAUUACUGAUUCAAACUCUAUCCUCAACCUUUUCUUCAUUAAUUGACUAGCUUACGAAACCAAAAUAUUGCCCAGAGAAAAAGAGUCUCCAUUAAAUCUGAUAUUCAAAAUAAUUCUUAUUGCCCCAACAGUUCUCAAUGGACAGUGCAGAAAUAUAUUCAAGAAAAAAAAUAAGGCAAUCAAAAAGAAUUGAAUCUUAUAAGUCUAAGUCUGUGUUAGCUAAGUGGUGAUGUGAGGAGGAAAUUGUGUAUUACAGUCAAGGGACUGAGUUUAGGCUCACACAAAGCACCAGCUGUAAGAAAACAGGGAUAACAUCAGACUCCUGCUUGAACUCGUGCAAUGAUGUGCCAAUCUCAGAUCAACAAAAAGGGCAAAUAUCCACAUUGUAGAUAAAUAGGAAGGUCAGGUCUUGCAGCUAUUUUCAAAAUUAGCACAAAGAGAACACAGGAGAGUAAAUGCACUUCCAGCUCUAAGGAUGCUCUCUGAAGACAAGUUUGAAGCACACUGGUACAACAGUUCAGGAGGCAGUUCAGUGUUAGCAUUGCCAAUUUUAAAUGCCUUGAACCAACAGCAUGAUCAGUGCUGGCUGGCAUUUCCAAAUACAUUUUUACAGGAAUUACCAGCUCAUUGUAUUUAGGCAGAUUUUAGUUUCUCAUUCAUAAGUGGUAAGAAUAAUUAGAGAAGCAGAUAAAUUGAUCUCCAUGGCACAACUUUCAAGUUCAUUAAGCAUCCACUUCAUUGCUUUGCUGGAUCAGAAUCAGGAAGUUCAGCAGCUCCUAGACUUGAGCCUACAAUAAUGUCAGAAGAGUACAGAAGUUUGACAGGUUUUAUUUUCUUCCUUUUAAACAUGAGUGUUUUAGAAUGGUCUGUGCACUUAAUGUCAGCCAGAAUUUUGAGUAAACAAUAUUACACUUUGAAUCAUAAAAGCAAUUCUACUGGUAGCCAAAGUUUUGAAACUGAUUAAGUACAUGCACUUAGAUAUUUGGAAGUAUAGAUUUAAUGGCACUCUGUCCCAAGACUCAGCAAGGACAUUCUUUGUAAGAUCCUAACUUAUCAUAAUUAUUGAAUGUAGUAUGCAUUUCAGUCAUUUCAGGUAUAAACUUAAACACAUUUAGUCUCAUUUUAUUAAAAGGAAAAAUGCAUAUGCUGCAUUUCAGGAGCAAAAGAUGACAUAGCACUGGAAGAAAGGAACUCUAUAGUGCUUAGCACUUCCAAAAUUGCACUGCCUUCAUUUUUGAGAAAAGUAGUGAAUCAUUGCCUUUCCUAACAGUGAAAGAUUCUGCUGGUGGCUGAAUGAAACAAUUAAGAAGGGUAAGCCUCCCCUCUUCAUGGCCACAAUGAUUCGUGAACAGAGGCGUGAUGCUUUUGCUGGCAGACAGGAGAGAAGGGUAGGGAAGGCAGGCUGUUCCCAGGGCAGUGACACAAGUUUAUGUAGUUGUCAACAUUGUUUCUCAGGUACAGCUGACUGCAAAGUUUCUGAGGAACAUUUUUUGCUAACAGUGUUUUUCCUCUUUACAAACCCCACCAGGAGCUCUCUAUUAGACUGCAAUAAAGUGCAGAAACCUGUCUCUCUUUCACUCCUUUCAAGAUGCUCCAAAAACGGCCCAUGCCUUGAUACAAGCACAAAAGGAAAACAGGUAGAGAACCACAAGUAGUCAACAACGCUGUGGGCACGGUAGAUUUUGUCCUGGGCAUUUAAAAAGCACUGAAAUUCAAGUGAGGAUUCUAAUCAGAGAUAACAAAUAUGUUUUCUUUCUACUUCUCAAUUUCAUCAUUUCAUCAAUCACUCCGCAACUGAAAAGCAAAACAGGUUACAACCUCAGAAAUAACCAUCAUCCUUCUAAUUCUUUUCAUUCCCUCUUUCCCUCCAAUAUACUAAGAAUGCAUUAGGACUUUUUACCAAAAAUCAAUGCUUAACAACAAACUGCAACCUGAAGUGUCCACUGACUUUAUUGCUUUAAACUUGUUUGCAGUUUAAUACACACCAAACUCCAUGGAAAUUUUGUCUCAUUACACCCAGGCCGCUGCAUAUUCUGCCAAAUUUCUCACGAGGCCUUCAACCACAGUAAGGCGUGUCAGCACCAUCUUGUGGCUUUCUUGUACAACUUUUGUACAGAAUCCCCAGGAGUUGGUCAGUUUAUGACCUCUCCAUAUCAAGACUUGCAACUGGAAUGCAAACUGUAAGAGUUAAAAUAAGUAGUUGCAUCUCUAGGGUCAUUUUGCAGUUUCCUCAGACUCUGAAGGCUGCUGGUCAGGAUAAAUGGAUGGAUCAGAUGCCUGUUCUUCAGACUCAGCUAUUUCCCCAAACUUUGCAAACAUUAGAUUAUUAAGUAAACAGAAACCUACUGCUUGAUUUUUCUCUCUUUAAAUGGCUUUUGUUUUGUGAGUCUAAACAUAGUAAAAUUUUUUUACUCUCUUCUCCCAUAUUGUUCUGGUAGUUUUUCCUCUGCUUAAGCUCCAGUAAAUCUCUACUCUCAUUGAAAAUAAACAGUCAGUUUAGGUAAAAAUCUUCUAUCUCUCCCUCUGUAGCAAAUACUUCACAUGAAAUAUCCCAAGCCUCCAUUUGUUUUUUUCAUAGCUGCAGCCCACUUCCAAUUAGUAGCUGAAUUUAUCUUCCUCUACUCUUUCUUGCUGAGGAUUCACAGCUUACUGGAGAAAAAGAAAAAAUCCUGCUAUGCACAAUAGCAAAACCUGCACCAUUAUUUUCCAUAACUUUUCCCUUAUUGUGUUCCCAAAAGCCAUCAAUUUCUUCUUGCCUGACAUUCUGAAUGUCCUUUUGCAGUAAUGAUGUCUCCUACCUUAGACUCAUCAGCAUCUCAUCAAUGCACUCCUCCUUUCCAGGCAAAAAUCCUUCAUAAAAAUAUUAACCUUGUUUCCAAACCAAUACUGGGAAAACUCUACUAUUCAUCUUCCUCCUGUUUAGCACUCCCCCUCCCAAGACUGUUGUCAUGUCCCCCUCAAUCAUUGCCUUAUUCACAUUAUAAUUCUUUUAAGUAUCAUUUUUCUUCAGGGGAACAAAUAAAUUCCUAGACAGGCCAAUAUAACUCCUUUUACAGAUUCCAGUCAACACUGGAUCUACUUCCUUUGCAUCUACCUUAUCAAAUAGAUUUAACUGGAAUCCUGUACCACACUAGAAAGCAGGCAACAUCACAAAUUAUGUCUUUAUAUGGGUUUUCAUUGUCAUCACACAAUUUAAAACUUAAAAGUUGCACAAGACAAGACAACUGCAGAAUCAAAGAAUACAUAUAAGUAUGCCCUUGCCUACAAAUCAAUAAAUACAUAUAAAAAUAAUUAUAUUUUUGCCUAUGUCAAAUACAGCAUUCACAGCAGCUGCAAUGUCUUGCGGUGUAGUAACAAAAGGCAAAGGUUUCAUGCCAUGAUUUCACAUGCAAAAUAAAAUGAAGUGGUCAUGGGAAUUAAUGUAAAUAAAAGAGGGGACAUGAGCUGCAGUUAGACUUCCAGUAGAUUUGAGGAAUAAACCUGGAACAAUAUUUCAGGUUUACCUUAUGGUUGCAAAAGUUGUGUAUUAUGACCAUCAUAUUAUUUUUUUUCCAAAGUGUGUGUUUCUGUCUAACAGGCUCAAAUGCAUCCCUGAGGAGGGUCCAUCUUGAGUCUUCUGCAUUUUCCCUGUCCCUGCUGUGAAAUACAAGCUCUCCUGAAAUAGCUCUGUUCUGGACAUUCACAUACAAGGGACCAGGCCCAGACUAAGGAAAAUAAUAUAACUGCCUACUUUACCUUUCAGUCGCUUUGCUGGGAUUUAGUAGCCUGAAUGCAUUUUUGGGAUUAUUCCAUUGAAGUAAGGAUAGAGUAAGGUCCCGUAACAGUGAAGAUGGUCAAGUAAAGUAGUUCAGGUAAUUACAGUCCAAUCCGCCAAACAUCAAUAUUUGAAAAGAGAUAGUGACAAAUUAGAAGUAAGCAACAUAUUAAACUGUCUUUAACCACCUUGAAGAAAACAAGAUUUUAACAAAGUUGAUAUAUUUGUCAGGAACAAUUCAUGGCAAAUCAAUAUAAUUGCUUUCAAAACAGCUGAUCUAGCAUACAAGGGGACAGGUCCCUGUAAUGAGCAAACAAGAGAAAUACAGUUCAGAUGAAGGUGCACUAAUUUCAGGUCAAAGCAGUUGAAUGAAAUUAUUCAGAUUAUUAUUGGAAAAAUGGAAUACGUUUCAAAAAGGCACAGAUUUCUUGUUAUAUCCAGUAUUUUAAUGAAUUAUGGUAUUUUGUGUUUCUUUAAAAUUUGUAGCUGACACAAAUUUGACGGGUAUUGCUCAGCUCCUGACUCAUUUCUACCCAGUGCAAAUCUAUUCAUCUCAAUCCAGCUGGUGUUGUCUAGCAAAUCUUCUGAAUAUUCUGGAAUAUAGUGUUCAAUGUAAUUAAGCAUUGAAUAAUGAUCAUAAGAAGAGACAAAGCUAAUCAACAGGAACUCUUCUUGACUCAGCUAAAAACCAAUAUGCAGUUAUGAAAUAUUUACCAUAAUGACCUUCCUCUCUGGUACUCCCUCACAAAGUUUUCAGGUUAGAAAAUGAGCAAAGAAUAACUCAUGCUUUGUCUCAUUCUAAACAGAAGCCUGGCUUUUAUUGACCAGAGCAAUCCUCUCAAAACCCCAUUAUUUCAAAUCACAACUAAUACUAGAAAUUUUAAAACUCUGUUCCAUAGUCCAUGAAAUUGAUUAAUUCUGGUGUCUAUUAUACUUCUAUAUCCAAGGACAAAAUUUGACACUACUCUCUAAUUUAUCUAGCAUUGCAAAAUGCUACAAAGCAGUACAAGCAGUAAAUUGAGACUAAUGUUUCAAGUAGGAGGCAAAGCAUCCACUAAAACCAUCUGCAGAUUUAUGUCUUUCAUACUGUGUAUCAGAAUACACGGAGGUUUUCUAUGUUGUUAUCUUAUUUUGAACAUUGAAAUCUAGCUCAAACAUCACCAUGCACAGUUUAUUACAAGAUCCCAAACAUGCCCUGUUCAAAUGGAAGCAGACAGAAUUUUUCCACCAUCAGUAGUUAAAAAAGAAUUCUUUUGAACUAUGAUGUGUGUGUUGAGUGCAUUAUAUACUGGUGGUUUAGCAUAGUUUGUUUUUUAAAGAAUUUGCUACUAAAAUGUUAUAGAGAGUUUAAUUGUAAAUGCACAGACAAGAAGCACAGUAAGCCUGUGGCAUUCUUCUGCAUUUCAAGUUCUCAUAAAUAAUCUGAUCAAGUGUCUUGGAAAUAAAUGAGUGUGGAUAUAACUUUAAGAUUUACCCUGCCUCAUUAAUCUGUCUCUAAGUUACCCUCUGUCUUUUCAAGAACUCCCCCAUUUCAGCUGACACUGUACUCUUGCCUGAGCUUCCAUAGAAGUGCUGUAUGCUGCAAACAAGCUUUUCAUCCAUGGCAAGACAGUCCCUGAAAACUGAUGUAGUUUAAAACCCUCGAGGAAUCUUUGCAUUACUAGUGUUAUAAUGAAGCCCGGGGAUAGGGUUUAACACUGGAGUUACAGACAUGACAUCCAGCCUUAAGGAGUAGCUGCUGACACAACACCAUUCUACCCCUGAGCAGUAAUGGUAGAACACCCUGGUUACAUGCAGUACCCUCUACUCUGCUACAGGAUUAGAUUUAAAAAUUAGAUUUAAAAAAAUCCCACAGAUUAUAAAUUGUUUCAUUGGAUAAAGGAAUUAAGAUAUUAAUGAUCAAGAUGGAGAGUGUACCUUCUUGUGCUAGAAGUUGUACUUUGAAACAGCCACACCACCCUGCCCUGCUGAAAAUGGACAUUAUUUGAGUGCCAACAUGUACUGCCACCUGAGUAGCACCAUGCUGCCAUGCUGAUUUUCAGCAUGGCAUUUUCAUAAACAUCUCAGUGUGAACUCUUCAAGGACCUUGUAGCUUUUUUAAUUAGGGUGAAAAUUAGGGCAUUUGUACUUGGCUUGCUAAUAUAAUAUCCUAAUGCUGUCUUUGGCUAUAUGAAUCCGUACUUUAGAACUGGGAAAUUGUUCUGCAAUACCAACAGGUUCUUAUCAAGCUUUACUACUGCUUUAUUAUACUACUACUAUUUUCUUUUAUUUUACAUUAAAAUUUCUUCCCUUCUCCACAUAACCUCUAGGUGUCAAGUGCCUCCUCGCUUGUCACCUCACUGUCCCAAAACCACUUCAAAUUAAAACCAGAGUUGUCACUCAUCAUGUGGGAAAAUAUUAAGUGUCUUACAGUACUUGUAUCAGUAAAACAGAUGGUGAUGUAAACCAAGAUGCAAAUUCAGCCUACAGAAUAUAGUCACAGAGUUAAUACAAUCAAACUUCCACUGAAGAAGGAGGUGCAUAUUUACACAGCUCUUAACUGGAAGCAGAAAAAAGGUAAAUAAAUGAAAGCCAUAACAUUUAACCUUCCUGAAGCUGCUCAGCAUUUGUCCUAAUGCUCCUGCUUAGCAAGUGUCACCAUCAAAGCAGAUAUUAGGAAUGGUACUUGAAGUGCUGGAACCUGGUAUUCCAGCUGCCAUGAGUAUCCAGACAGGUUCAGAAGAUGAGCCAUUAGAUCAGAAACUUCUGGGAAGGGCCAAAUGGGUUUUGAGUUGAUUUCAGCACCACCACAGAGUUUCAGGCCCAUUAUCUUUUGGUAACAUGCAGUAAUGUCUUCAUCAGUUACACUAAAUUACAUUAAUGUACUGCAAUACUUAAAAUUAAAAGAGCAGUAAUACAAACCACAGUAAUAUACAUAUUUUACUAUCAUUUUUUACUACGGAUUAUAUUCAGCCACUGUUGCCAGCAAUCAUUACAAUUUUAAGAACUCGAUCAGCACUAGCUAUUCAUAGCAGCUCUAAGUAUGAAUAGAAUAUUCAGACUUUUCUGAAUAUUUAGACUUUUCCAGCAUUAUGCCUUUCAAUAUUGGAUCCACUAAUACCUCUCUCUCCAUAUAUUCUUUUACCUGGCACCUAGGAAGAACCUUCUAAUUCUUUACUCAGUAACACAACUUAGGCAGCAGGAAUUAAAAUCCUUUUACAGGGGUUCAGUUGGGAAGGCUAUAGAUGAGAGACUCAUUGAUAGCCAGAAAAUUUCACUGACCCACUUCCUAUCAUCAUUGUCAUUAAGAACUCCCAGACACAAAUGGAAUCAGACUGUGGGUCGUGACUUGUCCUAACAUAACAACUCUUUACCAACUGUCAUCUUUCCAUCAGACCCUGAGACCUUCAAACCUCAGUAGGAAAGAACACCACCAAUGAUCAGCAUGGUGCUGUUGCCUCAGACAGCUUCUGAUAGCCCUUUAACAGGGUGGGAGCAGAAGUGCAUUCCCAUGGAUCUAACUGAAUGCGCCUUGUACACCCUAUUUUGUGAUUAGCCAGGUGCUAGCAGCAUUUUGAACACAACAGACAUAUGAGGGCAUCCUCCAUCAUGCAAAGUUUUAUGACAGGCACAGAAGAGACUGUCCUCAAAUGCCUCCAUAUGCUAACAUGGAUGCACCCUCAUCAAACAGCUGGCCUACCAGUUUUAAAGAAAACGUACGCUAAUGGUAUUAUUGCUUAAUAAACCCUUAUUGUGCAUAAACCCUUUCAUGAUGUUUCUGUGAUCUGAUCCUUAUUUAGGAGCAAUCAAAGCACUCUGGCAGCAGAAACAGCUGUGUAUAUUGACCAUGAAAACUGCUGACCAAACUAAGCUUGGACACAUGAAAAACAAAGAAUCACUUACCUGUGGAGUCUUGACUCAAAGUUUCUUGACUACUACUGUUGUAAGAAGGUACUGGAGUGAUUGAAAGAGAUGCUGGACAGGACAAUGGACAUGAGAAGUCAUUCUGCAUAGCAAAACAUUGACACAUGGGAACACAGGCAUCUUCAGAGACAGUGAGACCGAGGCGAGGGUUCCCAUACACACACAGAUUCUUCCAGCGAAGCAGUCCUAUUGCAAGAGGGCCAACAGCUUCAGAACCUGACAAUAAAAACCUGGAGUUAAAACCCCUGUCCUUGUAUUGUACAGCUUGUAAUUUUGGACAAGGAAGCUAUAGUAAGGUAAUACUCGUUCCUGUUUUGACCAUUAAGUUUGUCUGUCCCCUGGAAAAGAAUGUAAUAUUUUGUUCUGGUCCACUAUCAGCAAUGUUCUUAAAUGCUGGUGUAAUGCUGAAAGAAUACUUUCACUAUGUGGCCUCCUUGUACUGACAAGAUAUAUUUAACAUGAAAUAAACCUUCUAAUUUCUGUAUGAA